CGACAAUCACUGCACUCUCUUAAGCUCUGCUCUGAGGUCUCUCUAGUACCAGAGUAUUCCCGCACCUACGUGUGCCUCCAUGUGCCGCCAGUGCUCUGCCGAAUCUCUGCCACGCUGCCACACUCUCUCACUGGAUUCCCUCACAGCCUCCUUCGCCUACCCUCACACCUGCAGCCCUCACGUCUCCCUGGACUCCUCACGCACCCCUUGGACCUUGGAUUCCCCAAUAAAACCUUUUAACUGCUUCA